ensembl:lncRNA
GUUUAAACUCUUCUAAAUGUCAUGGAGAACUUUGUGGUUUACAUUCCCAAGGAAGCAUGUGUCAAAAACAUGCCUCUGCAGUCCCUGUCCAGCUCCACAGCCAGGAAGAUCAGUGUCGCUCUGUUUCCGCAUGGAUCAGAGAAACAGGUGCCGCAGACGGUGACGCGGAUCUGUCCGGUUGAGCUGCGGGAGAAAGAAGUGGCUGUGGGCAAGGACCGCAGAGAACCGGUCCCACUGAGCCAGAGGGAGCUGGUUUCCAAAAUAACUCCAGGUCAGUUUUCACUGCCUGUUGUGAGUUCCAGCAAAACUGCCUUUAAGGCCUUAAGAAGGAUCUUAAAAGAACAUAAGCCUGAAAUACAGUUUUCGGGGCUGGACAGUGAAGCUGCCUCUCUGCCCAGCAUCAGGAAUUCUGAUGUUCGGCGAAAUGCCAUCAUUCUGUAUAACGGCCAGAUCUUCCUCUCAGUGAGGCGAGUGAGAUUACAGAACUCUCCCUCAGCACCUCCAGCUGUGUGUCCUGUUUCUCCCAGUCAACAGAACCAGAUUAACACAUCUAGAUGUCAAGCACAAGCACUCCUGGAAACGUCACCCAGACCACAACAGAGCAAGAGUCAGGAUGUUCAGACUCCAGUCAGAGAUCUUGAUAUUAACACUCUUCUGAACAAAGUCUCUGAAGAAAUGCCUGAACAAUGCUGUACAGACAAAGAAUGUCAAAAGGAAGAGGAGACAGCCUCAGAGUCCAGGUCACGGAGUAGCGACCCUAAAUCUCCUGAGGGUCUGGAGUCUGGUCAGGAGACGUCUAGUUCCCUGCCUAGUAUCUUCCAGCCGUCCCAGAUCAACCACACAUCUUCUGGCAUCUCAGAACAGCCCGAAGAAGCAGCAGGAGGACAAAGAGAGACAUCUGAGGAUGACAAUGAGCGUUCAGAGGGCGCGUUACUCCCCAGGGCUGAGAGCUGUCUUGCAUUUGAUUUUGAACAGUUGGCCCAGGAGGAGAGAAUCAACCACCUACGAGCUCAGCUGAGACAGAAGGAAGCCGCACUCAGCAUCUUCCACUUGAAGCCGACGGAUCAGAUUUAG